rnacentral:lncRNA from 1 species
CCAACUUUUUAUUUUUGCCCAUUUAGUCUUUGAAUGUGAAGAUACAUUGUUACACUGUUGAGGGCCACAGCCGAGUCAGGAUGACACAUGGCAUUUUUGCCAGAAGUAGUGGUUGAGAUGUGACGCCAGCGAGCCAUUAAGAUGAUGACUUUUGAGUUCUGGCGGAGUUCCCGUUGAGUUCCAGUUGAGCUCUCACCAGGAUUCCUGAAGAGUUUGCGUUGGUUGGUGAAGUUCCAUUGGUGAGAGUUCCCGUUGGUGUGUGGUGUGUCCCGGAGAAAGCCGCUUGGGUGGCGUUCCUGGGAGUUCGGAAAUAAAGUUUGUUCCUGCUUGAGUGGCUCAUGAUUUGUGCCCAGCCAGACUGCGGCAUUACACCUUGUAUUACAAAUAGGCAGGAAUUGCAUGGUGGUGGGAAUUAUUAGGUGGCUGAGGGUAUAUAGUCUCUUGAUGGUGCUCCUGCUAGCUUUUGUUCAAAAGCUGGGUUCAUACAAGUUUGCAGCAGAAGCAGGAGAGGUGGAUUCAAUGCUGCCUCAACUGAGUAGGUGGGCAGAAGCUUCAGCUCAACUCUAGGUGUUUAUGUUCUGGGGAUACAUCCCUGGGUAAGUACCUUCUUUUUUUAAUGCCCUGUUAUAUAGUCACUAGAUGGAGGCAUAGACUAACUUUCCCUUCAUUAGGUUUCUGAAUAUAUAUGACUAUUUUUAUUGUGUGUAUGUAUUUUCAUGUGUGUAAUGCUGGAUUAUACAGUGGACAAAAUUGCAAUAAAGUGAUGUUGUAUUGUUAUUAUUAACAGUAAUUGAUAUUAAAACAAAAACUUUUCUUCACUUUUCCUUACAGAAUCCCACUAGAAUCAUUAGAUUUUUGUUAGGUAACUAUUG